rnacentral:piRNA from 1 species
UUCAAGAACGAGCAACACUGCUUUCUUUUA